rnacentral:snRNA from 1 species
GUUGUUUCUUUGGUUUUUGGCCCAAGAUCAAGGUUAGUAUCUGUUCUUAUCAUUUAACAUCUCAUAAAUCCUCUACCUGGGGAUAGUUUAUUUAUUUUAUUUUAUUUUAAAAAGUAACUUAUUUAUUUUAUUUUUGGCUGCAUUGGGUCUUCGUAGCUGCACGCGGGCUUUCUCUAGUUGCGGCAAGCGGGGACUACUC